CGUCCUUGUUUGUAGGUUUCUCAUGGCGUCCUUACUGCAUGUUGAGAAUGAGGACAGGAUCAGUCAGCUACCAGAGGAGUUGCUUCUGCAGAUUUUGUCUGUACUUGAAACGAAAAAUGUCAUAGCCAUGAGUGUCGUGUCUAAACUUUGGCGGUCUCUCUCUCGAAGAAGGUGCCGAAUCUCAAGUUCACUUGCUCAAAAGCAACUGAUCGCGAGACGUUUUCAGACUAUGUUUGCAGGAUUUUGCUUUCACAUCAGGCUCCGAUUCUACAGAGCUUGGAUCUCAAUAUAUGUUGUGAUAAUAAUAAAAAGUUCUCAUUUGGAUAUAUAUUGGAAUACUGAUUGGAAUCGCAUUAGGCCUUCAUGUGCGUAAGUUUUGUACUCGAGCUCGUGACUGAUGAUGAAAUCGAAUUCGGGUUGCCUAGAAGCAUGUAUAACAGUGAAACACUAGAGACCUUGGAACUCAGUGGUUACAUUCUUGUACAUAUCUCCCUUUUCCGGUUUUUCUCAAGUCUCUUAAAACUCUACACAACACUCACGGGGUGCGCUACAAAGACGAGGACUCAUUUUUUAACCUUUUAACAUUUUUUUUAUUUUUUUUAAUCAUUUCGAGCAAUCGGUGAGCGAUGUCUUCUCUGUUUUCCGGCUAUGUAUUCUCUGUUUCCUCUUCGUGAAAUCGAAGAGUAUGGAGACAUAUUGGAGGUUACGCUGAUUCCUGCGAGCUCUUGCAUCUCCGGGAAAAGAGAGCCGAUGCUCCUCCAUAUAACGUCUUGAUCACUGGCUCAACCAAACGUUCAUUCACCAUUUUCUCUUCAAUUUUAUUCGGGCGUUAUAUCUUUGCGAACUCGUUUAACUCAGUUUCCUCCAGAAAUCAUAAUCUCAUUAUGUGAUUUAAUUUGCAGGUAUAGGAUAUGCAUUGGCUAGGAAAUGUCUCGGGUUUCUAUUGAUUCUGUUUAGGUUCUAUGUGUCUAAGAGAGAUGAAUAACUGUUGAAAUCUGGACAGGAAUGGGAUUCUUAAUUUGUGCCUUACUUAGUUGGGAGCAUUUCAUUGGUAGUUUUAGCCGUGGGAAGCGUUUCUAAACUUCUUCCCUGAUUAUCAAGAAAACCUAGUGCUCGACAUGUAGCAGCCCACUUCUUAGGUUUGCUGCUGUGGCAAUGGCUGGACUUGCCGCUGAGGAUCUGAAAUAUGAAAAAGUGAUUGGCCAAUCCGCAAAUCUGUUCUCUCUUCAGGUCUUCUAAUUCUUCUUACAUCAUCACUCACUUCAACUCACACAUCUUCAAGCACCAUGAAGAAACGAUGGUUGAAGAUCAAAACUAUAUAUAUAGUAACUAUUAUAGACCAAGUGUACAGUGAUUAUUAUACAAACAGGUAUAUAAUUUACGAAAUAUAAAGAUCAU